CGUAGGUGAACCUGCGGAAGGAUCAUUCAUAAUAAGUGUUUUAUGGCACUUUUUUAAAUCCAUAUCCACCUUGUGUGCAAUGUCAGGGUUGAUUUUUCUCUCGAGAGGAUCAGCCCCAAACAUCAACUAUAUCUCAACUCUUUGUCUGAAAAAUAUUAUGAAUAAAACAAUUCAAAAUGCAACUUUCAACAACGGAUCUCUUGGCUCUC
rnacentral:misc_RNA from 1 species